CCUCAAUAUAUGACAGGC
rnacentral:misc_RNA from 1 species